rnacentral:rRNA from 1 species
GACGAACGCUGGCGGCGUGCCUAAUACAUGCAAGUUGAGCGCUGAAGGUUGGUACUUGUACCAACUGGAUGAGCAGCGAACGGGUGAGUAACGCGUGGGGAAUCUGCCUUUGAGCGGGGGACAACAUUUGGAAACGAAUGCUAAUACCGCAUAAAAACUUUAAACACAAGUUUUAAGUUUGAAAGAUGCAAUUGCAUCACUCAAAGAUGAUCCCGCGUUGUAUUAGCUAGUUGGUGAGGUAAAGGCUCACCAAGGCGAUGAUACAUAGCCGCCCUGAGAGGGGGAUCGGCCACAUUGGGACUGAGACACGGCCCAAACUCCUACGGGAGGCAGCAGUAGGGAAUCUUCGGCAAUGGACGAAAGUCUGACCGAGCAACGCCGCGUGAGUGAAGAAGGUUUUCGGAUCGUAAAACUCUGUUGGUAGAGAAGAACGUUGGUGAGAGUGGAAAGCUCAUCAAGUGACGGUAACUACCCAGAAAGGGACGGCUAACUACGUG